rnacentral:rRNA from 1 species
AGAGUUUGAUCAUGGCUCAGGACGAACGCUGGCGGCGUGCCUAACACAUGCAAGUCAAGGGGCCUUCGGGUCACUGGCGCACGGGUGAGUAACGCGUAGGUAAUCUGCCCAUAUCCGGGACAUAACAUCGAGAAAUCGUUGCUAAUAUCCCAUGAGGCCGCAAGGUCAAAGCUUCGGCGGAUAUGGAUGAGCCUGCGUCUGAUUAGCUAGUUGGUGGGGUAAUGGCCUACCAAGGCGACGAUCAGUAGCUGGUCUGAGAGGACGAUCAGCCACACUGGAACUGAGACACGGUCCAGACUCCUACGGGAGGCAGCAGUGAGGAAUUUUGGUCAAUGGGGGAAACCCUGAACCAGCGACGCCGCGUGCGGGAUGAAGGAGCUUUGCUCUGUAAACCGCUGUCGGGAGGGAAGAAAAGCCGGGUCGCCCGGCUGGGACAGUACCUCCAAAGGAAGGAUCGGCUAACUACGUGCCAGCAGCCGCGGUAAUACGUAGGAUCCAAGCGUUGUCCGGAUUUACUGGGUGUAAAGGGUGCGCAGGCGGAUUUGUGCGUCAGAGGUUAAAGACUUCGGCUUAACCGAAGAAAUGCCUUUGAUACGGCAAGUCUUGAGUACGAGAGAGGAUGAUAGAAUUCUUGGUGUAGCGGUGAAAUGCGUAGAUAUCAAGAGGAAUACCAGUGGCGAAGGCGGUCAUCUGGCUCGUAACUGACGCUCAGGCACGAAAGCGUGGGGAGCAAACAGGAUUAGAUACCCUGGUAGUCCACGCCCUAAAC